UGGGGAAUAUUGCACAAUGGGGGAAACCCUGAUGCAGCAACGCCGCGUGAAGGAAGAAGUAUCUCGGUAUGUAAACUUCUAUCAGCAGGGAAGAAAAUGACGGUACCUGACUAAGAAGCUCCGGCUAAAUACGUGCCAGCAGCCGCGGUAAUACGUAUGGAGCAAGCGUUAUCCGGAUUUACUGGGUGUAAAGGGAGCGUAGGCGGUUAUGCAAGUCAGAUGUGAAAGCCCGGGGCUUAACCCCGGGACUGCAUUUGAAACUGUGUAACUAGAGUGCCGGAGAGGUAAGCGGAAUUCCUAGUGUAGCGGUGAAAUGCGUAGAUAUUAGGAGGAACACCAGUGGCGAAGGCGGCUUACUGGACGGUAACUGACGUUGAGGCUCGAAAGCGUGGGGAGCAAACAGGAUUAGAUACCC
rnacentral:rRNA from 1 species